AGAGUUUGAUCCUGGCUCAGGAUGAACGCUGGCGGCGUGCCUAAUACAUGCAAGUCGAGCGAACUGAUUAGAAGCUUGCUUCUAUGACGUUAGCGGCGGACGGGUGAGUAACACGUGGGCAACCUGCCUGUAAGACUGGGAUAACUUCGGGAAACCGAAGCUAAUACCGGAUAGGAUCUUCUCCUUCGUGGGAGAUGAUUGAAAGAUGGUUUCGGCUAUCACUUACAGAUGGGCCCGCGGUGCAUUAGCUAGUUGGUGAGGUAACGGCUCACCAAGGCAACGAUGCAUAGCCGACCUGAGAGGGUGAUCGGCCACACUGGGACUGAGACACGGCCCAGACUCCUACGGGAGGCAGCAGUAGGGAAUCUUCCGCAAUGGACGAAAGUCUGACGGAGCAACGCCGCGUGAGUGAUGAAGGCUUUCGGGUCGUAAAACUCUGUUGUUAGGGAAGAACAAGUACAAGAGU
rnacentral:rRNA from 2 species